AGGACGAACGCUGGCGGCGUGCUUAACACAUGCAAGUCGAGCGGAAAGGCCCUUCGGGGUACUCGAGCGGCGAACGGGUGAGUAACACGUGAGCAACCUGCCCUUAGCUUCGGGAUAGCUCCGGGAAACCGGAAUUAAAUACCGAAUAUGAUUUUUGCUGACAUCAGCAGAAGUGGAAAGUUUUUCGGCUAGGGAUGGACUCGCGGCCUAUCAGCUAGUUGGUGAGGUAACGGCCCACAAGGCGACGACGGGUA
rnacentral:rRNA from 1 species